GACGAACGCUGGCGGCGUGCUUAACACAUGCAAGUCGAACGGAAAGGCCCUGCUUUUGUGGGGUGCUCGAGUGGCGAACGGGUGAGUAACACGUGAGUAACCUGCCCUUGACUUUGGGAUAACUUCAGGAAACUGGGGCUAAUACCGGAUAGGAGCUCCUGCUGCAUGGUGGGGGUUGGAAAGUUUCGGCGGUUGGGGAUGGACUCGCGGCUUAUCAGCUUGUUGGUGGGGUAGUGGCUUACCAAGGCUUUGACGGGUAGCCGGCCUGAGAGGGUGACCGGGCACAUGGGGACUGAGAUACGGCCCAGACUCCUACAGGAGGCAGCAGUGGGGAAUAUUGCACAAUGGGCGGAAGCCUGAUGCAGCAACGCCGCGUGCGGGAUGACGGCCUUCGGGUUGUAAACCGCUUUCGCCUGUGACGAAGCGUGAGUGACGGUAAUGGGUAAAGAAGCACCGGCUAACUACGUG
rnacentral:rRNA from 1 species